rnacentral:rRNA from 1 species
AGUGAACGCUGGCGGCGUGCUUAACACAUGCAAGUCGAACGAGAACGGAAUAUAGCUUGCUAUAUUUGUCAGCUAAGUGGCGCACGGGUGAGUAACGCGUAUCCAACCUGCCCCCAACAAAGGAAUAACCUUGCGAAAGUAAGACUAAUACCUUAUAAUUUCCUCAGAUGUCAUCUGACGAGGAAUAAAGAUUUAUCGGUUGUGGAUGGGGAUGCGUCUGAUUAGCUUGUUGGCGGGGUAACGGCCCACCAAGGCAACGAUCAGUAGGGGUUCUGAGAGGAAGGUCCCCCACAUUGGAACUGAGACACGGUCCAAACUCCUACGGGAGGCAGCAGUGAGGAAUAUUGGUCAAUGGGCGAAAGCCUGAACCAGCCAAGUAGCGUGCAGGAUGACGGCCCUAUGGGUUGUAAACUGCUUUUAUACAGGAAUAAAGUUAGCCACGUGUGGUUAUUUGUAGGUACUGUAUGAAUAAGGACCGGCUAAUUCCGUGCCAGCCGCCGCAGUAA